AAAAAAUUUAUUAUAGUAUUACAGAGUAGUAAUAGUUAAGUUCUUGAAACUCAAAAAAUUUGGCGGUAUUUUAGUCUAUUCAGAGGAACCUGUAAUUUAAUCGAUAAUCCACGAUGGACCUUACUUAAUUUUGUAACCAGCUUGUAUAUCGCCGUUUUUAAGAAUCUUAUUAGGGAAAUAAUUUUUAAAGUUUUUAAUAAAAUAAAAAGUCAGGUCAAGGUGCAGUUUAUAAUUAAGUUAUUAAUGGGUUACAAUAAAAAAAUUUAAGCGGAUUUUAUUAAUUAAAGUUUAUUUUUGAAGAUGGAUUUGAUAAUAAAUUUUAAAAGAUAAUAAUUUUGAUUUUGGCUCUAAAAUAUGC
rnacentral:rRNA from 1 species